CCCAGGUUAGCUCAGUCGGUAGAGCGUUCCACUGGAAAUGGAGAGGUCACUGCUUGGAUACCGGAACCAGGCG
rnacentral:tRNA from 2 species